AGCGCGCUCUAAUCAUAUUUGACGUACAUACGUCAAGUCUUCUGGAUACAGAAAGUGACAGCAUAUAUCGUGUGAUAGCAAUUUUAGAUUGAAUAGUCAGCAUAUAUCGUGUGAUAGCAAUUUUAGAUUGAAUAGACAGAACGACUUCAUAAAGACAACUGAAUCUGACAUAGUUCAAUUGAACGAUACGAAACUCAACCCAAGGCACAAUAAAAUGGAAAAUUUAACUUCGUAAGGAAAGGCAGAUAAUCCAGCAAUUGCGGCGGGGUACAGAACUUAUAAGGAAUCACAUCGUCAAUUCAACGCAAUGCACACCCUGAAGCCUUCUUAUACGUAGAUAGAAAUGGCUAAUUCAAGAUACGAAUGGUAUCCCUACUUUGUAUCACCUAUAAAGACGUUCCAAUACUAAAUGUAUUAAUAGAAAUUUAAUCGCAUUGAAUAAAAUUCGAUUCGACACUACCGGGACCACAUAAA
rnacentral:sRNA from 1 species